CUGUACAGCUUUCAAGAACGAGAUAACCUAAUACUAAAAAGGGCCAAGAUGAAGGAGACAGAAAAGAUCCCUCUUUCCCGAUGCUACAGUAUUGGCUUUAAGUGCAACUU